AUUGAACGCUGGCGGCAUGCCUUACACAUGCAAGUCGAACGGCAGCACGGGAGCAAUCCUGGUGGCGAGUGGCGAACGGGUGAGUAAUAUAUCGGAACGUGCCCAGUCGUGGGGAUAACGUAGCGAAAGCUACGCUAAUACCGCAUACGAUCUAUGGAUGAAAGCGGGGGAUCGCAAGACCUCGCGCGAUUGGAGCGGCCGAUAUCAGAUUAGGUAGUUGGUGAGGUAAAGGCUCACCAAGCCGACGAUCUGUAGCUGGUCUGAGAGGACGACCAGCCACACUGGGACUGAGACACGGCCCAGACUCCUACGGAGGCAGCAGUGGGGAAUUUUGGACAAUGGGCGAAAGCCUGAUCCAGCAAUGCCGCGUGCAGGAAGAA
rnacentral:rRNA from 1 species